CUUAUUCUUUGCCUGUAAAAGCCCUUUUAAAAGAAAGUCCAGAACGGGAGAUCUCAGGAUCUUAAGCAAGCUGUUCUUGCUUAAGAGAUUUCAUCUUUAUUAAGGAGAAAAGAAAAUUAGUGGGAAGGGCUGGCAAGAGUAGAUGUGGGAUGGAGGAAUUUGCAUUAUUGGUACAUGUAAUAUACCAGCAUCUGGACAAGACUGAGCCUAGGGGUGGAAUAAUUUGCUUUUUAUUAUUAGGUGAAACAAUACAGCAUAUCAAGAUGAAAUGCCAUAAUUCCUUUAAAGCAUGCUGUAUAUAUUUUUACACUUAGACAACUCAAGCUUUGUUUCUUCCCUCAGUUGUGCCUCCCUCUCAGAGCUACAGGAGAACAAGAUGUGUCCCAGCUUGGACAUCAAGGAGAGUGAAAUCAAAGUUCUGUUUGAUUUGCCUGGUUUCCACUCUGGGGUUAAAAUGCCUCAUGACAGAAGAUUGGUAUUGAAAGAUUUAUCUUACAGGAUGAGCCAAAGCAGCUGGUACAUGGUACAUAAAAAACUUUAUUGUUUAACAGACUCUUUCUGCAGAAAUCUGGCUGUACUUUUUCUUAACUGUCUUCCACAAAGUGAACAGAAGGUGAAAUAGAUAACUGUGCUCUCAGAAGGUUUGUGGUGUAGCUGUCAAAUGCCUUUAAGGCUGUUAAACAUUUGUUUAAGUCAAAAUCCCAGUUCUGUGUUGUCACAUGCACAACUGGCCAAAGCUUACACUGCUUGCUCCUGUAUGUGCAGUGACUGGACUACCAAGCUGUUAAAGGCUUGCAGAACUUCUACUUGAAGACACAGAAUUUCUCAGGCAUAUUAAACACAUUUUUACGUAUUUUAAGAUACUUAUAAUAAAAAGUUAAUUUAAAUAGAAUAUCUUGGGGAUUUUUUUCCCAGUGAAAUUUGUUCCUGUUUUUCCCCCUGCUCCACCUUCUUUGGCUAUGCCAGUCUGCCAUUUAUAAUUUUCAUAUCUCUUUUCUUUUCCUUUUUAUUUGUCCGUUUUCAAAUUCUGCUAUCUUUUUUUGUGCCCAGCAUCUGUACCACAUCUGUACCAAACUCUCUUACCUGUGCCUAAAUGACCUUGGUAUAUGUAGCAUCACUCUGUCAUUAAGCUGGUAAUCAUAACUAUUAGAGCAUAGUGUGGAUGACACUAAUUAUAAAGCGAGAUUCUCUCACUUGGUAAGAAUGGUUGUGGAUUUUCUAAUCAAACAAAGCAAGCUUUCAGUGUACUUUGACAGCAGGUGUGAAGCAUGUGUGACUGGCAGGUAGCAUAGGGACUUGUGUGAGUUCAUGGUACUCACACAAGAACUGACUGACACAAGAGAAUCUGACUUACAGGGGGCAUUAUUUGACUCCCUGGCUGAGUUAUAAAACAGGUAAUCUUGCUGGAAAGUGGUGGAGGGGCAAGGUUUGUCAUUGUGAGUAAAUCAGGCACAAAGCUCCCUGAAGCUGAGCUAAGGAAUACAGAAUCUAGAUGUGAGUAUGUUUUCUUGCAAGAACUUUAAAGUCAAGUUUGAUACCUAUAAUUUCUUACCUGUAUUGUUCUGGGUUAUGCUUCUUAUUGAGGGCCCAGUGAGGACCAUGAGAGAGCUUGAGAUUAACAGGGAGUCUUUCUAAUGACUAUGACACUGAAAUUGUGCAUAACAAUUGGUCUGGAAAAUUGCAUUUCCUGAUGGAAUGACACUGAGCUGGCACAGGGCACUGACAUGCAGCCCUUCUAGUUCCAGUGUCUUUUACCAGGGACCUGUUUGUGAAACAAAAAAGCCACAAAAGUUUUGGAUUUGCCAAGACUUGGCUUCUAUUGCACCCUGAAGUGUUCCUUCAGGUCAUGGCUGUGACAUCCCUUCUGGGCAUCCCCCAGUUUCCAUCUGAGGCAGGUACAUGCAUUUUAAACAUUUGCAGCUACAGCAGGGCACAGGGCGCUUUUGUUCUCCCUUUUUCACUUCUAAACCACUGUUUGCUUCCCUCCCACUAUGAAAGGCAAGGUCACUGAAAAGCCUAGGUGUAGUAUUGGCAUAAGUUAAAGGAAUACUAUAUAGUGAGUUUUUAAAUUCUGGUUUUCCUUCUCUUUAGGAAAAUAGGAUGGAGGAAGGUGUACAGGUAUCAUUGGUGUUAUUGCAUGUCCUACAGUUAGGGUCCUCCAUCUUUCUAAAUCUGUCCACUCUGCACACCUUUUUGAUUUGAACACAACUCCCAGUUUGCUGUUAAUGCAUCUCUCUUUGAUACUAAACACAAACUGUGAAAUGUACAGAAUGUGCACUGUUGUUGCCCCCACGGAAAAAAGAAACCUCAAAAAACUUCCAUGACUUGCUCAUUUCAAUUCAUAGAGCAAUUUUAUGUAUUUUCCUGCUAAUUAUGCAAUUCAUCUGCUAGAAGAUGUGUUCUAUGUGUUCUUGUUUGGUCUGUAUUGUUAAAUUCAUGCAACACAUGCCUUAAAUCUCCAUAUGCAUCAAUGUAUUUGUGUGGAAAGUGUAUUGACAAG
ensembl:lncRNA